GCUUUGCUAUGUUCACCAGCUAGUCACCAACUUUGUUUGCUGGAUAGUUGCUUUGAUAUGUUUACCAGCUAGUUGCUAUUUUUUUAGCUUUAUUGUUGCUCUGCUAUGUUCUAGGCUAGUUGCUAACUUUGUCUGCCAGCUGUUAGCUGCUGGAGCAGCCGGAUUUCACAGAAAUACGUGAAAUGGCCACAACCUUUUACCACUUUUGUUGGUAUGAAAUGUCAGUUAAAGGUCAUGGUGGCAUCACAGAAACAAUGCCAAAAAAGCCUAUUAGGAUCCUUUGUUGUGGUAGAAACAUAUUCAUUGGUUCAGUGCAGCCCUGUCUCAAGCUUAGGGCUGGGUAUCUAAAACUAUUAUACUAUACUAUAGACCAUGGUACCGAUACCAAUACUGUGACUUUGAUACCGGUUCCGGGAAGAGACUUAUUUUCUACACCAAUUUUAUAAAAUCCAUUUGGUAGAAGCCUGCGGCAUGCUUAUUGGCUGACUGACGUGACGCUGAUGAGAUUUGUUCCUUAGGUAUUGAAAUUUGGUAUUGAAUUAAAUCAGUCGGUGCCUAAUAGGUAUCAAAUUCAGUACCCAGCCCUACUCAAACUCAAACUCAGAGCAACAUACUUAUUUUAACCCAAUCAAUGAUCUUUAUCUAAACCUGAACAAGUAGCCUAGUUUUGUCGCUUAAACCAAAGUUAUUUCCGUUGUGCCGAUCAGGUUGUGCUGGACAGGAAGCAUACAGUUUAUCUGUUUGUCUCUACCUCCGUAAAGGUUGUUCACACAGUCUAACUAUUUGCCUGUCAGUACACGUGUGAUAGGGUGGCUUUCAUUUCUUACCUCAUUGGAUUCUAUUGUAGUGAUGUUGCCUUGUUCCCAAGUCUCAGCUAUUACUUUGACAAAUAUAAUGUUAUUAUUACCAUUAAGAUUGACGUUAGUGCAAAAUUAAGGCCUACAUUUGAAUAAACUGGACUUAUUCUUUGAAAGGGUUGAGCAAUUAUCUACCUAUAAUAAUCGUCACAGAUGGUGAUCAGUGUUGUCUACUUUCCAUUCAGUUCACAGUCUAACUUUUCCAAACAACAUUUUGGGGAAUGUAUCAGCCAUAAUGGAUUCUUUUUCUGAAAGGAAGCAGCGAACAAUCACUGUUUUUUAUACCCCUCCCACACACAUGCAUAUUACUAAGAUUUGUCUGCCAUCAUGCCGCAUGUCAUAUUUAUGGUCCUCUGACUGAAUGUUACUCUAUAACACAGAUGGCACAGAGCAAACAGCCACGCACGCUCUCUGUCAGGAGAUGGCGCAACAUUAUAUUUUCCUGAGUGUUUCCCUGCCAUGUGGCAUCAAACAACACAAAGGUGAAGGGAUUCCUGGCGGUUAUUGGUUCAUUUAUUUCAUUUUUUUGGCAUUUGGUAUGUAGCUGUGCUUGGCUUCCAGGCGUCAAUUACUGCACGUGGCAGUAUGUGCAAGCCAUUUCUCUAUAAACAGUGCCAUGUUUUCCGACAGGGAUCUGUGUAAUACAAUAUAAUAGCAAGGCUGUGUUCCAUUACUUCUACUUGUGAAAUAUCCUUUGCAAUAGGUUCUUCUGUAGGUCUGAUGAACAAAUAAUACCUUGUACCAUAUUCCUUACAGGAGAUUAUAUCCCAUCUCGUUGGCAUCCGUGUGGUUUGCCGGUCAUUUUGAAACGACUGACGUCUUCUGUCCCGAUUUUUAAUCUGAUGUCUGUACAGUACACUCCAGUGUGGGUCUCAUCUCUUUUCGCCACGCAGAGAAGAGAUUGUUGAGAAUUGUUUCAAAUGAAAUGAACAUUUUACAUAACAUUUGUAUGUUUUUCUUUCUUUCUUUUUUUUGUUGGUGCGUGUGUGUGCAUGAUUUGGUGUGGAUGACUCACUGGGUUACACAGCCCAAGUGAAGCCAUAACGCACUCGAAUAAAAAUGAUGAGCCUCCUUCUGAAA